rnacentral:rRNA from 1 species
UGGAGCCUACGGGGGGCAGCAGUGAGGAAUAUUGGUCAAUGGUCGGGAGACUGAACCAGCCAAGCCGCGUGAGGGAUGAAGGUACAGAGUAUCGUAAACCUCUUUUGUCAGGGAACAAAGGCGGGGACGUGUCCCCGGAUGAGUGUACCUGAAGAAAAAGCAUCGGCUAACUCCGUGCCAGCAGCCGCGGUAAUACGGAGGAUGCGAGCGUUAUCCGGAUUUAUUGGGUUUAAAGGGUGCGCAGGCGGUCUGUUAAGUCAGCGGUCAAAGCCCGGGGCCCCACCCCGGUACUGCAUUUGCAACUG